UAGGGAAUCUUCCACAAUGGACGCAAGUCUGAUGGAGCAACGGCCGGCGUGAGUGAAGAAGGUCUUCGGAUCGUAAAGCUCUGUUGUUGGUGAAGAAGGAUAGAGGCAGUAACUGGUCUUUAUUUGACGGUAAUCAACCAGAAAGUCACGGCUAACUACGUGCCAGCAGCCGCGGUAAUACGUAGGUGGCAAGCGUUGUCCGGAUUUAUUGGGCGUAAAGCGAGCGCAGGCGGAAUGAUAAGUCUGAUGUGAAAGCCCACGGCUCAACCGUGGAACUGCAUCGGAAACUGUCAUUCUUGAGUGCAGAAGAGGAGAGUGGAACUCCAUGUGUAGCGGUGGAAUGCGUAGAUAUAUGGAAGAACACCAGUGGCGAAGGCGGCUCUCUGGUCUGCAACUGACGCUGAGGCUCGAAAGCAUGGGUAGCGAACAGGAUUAGAUACCCUGGUAGUCCAUGCCGUAAACGAUGAGCGCUAGGUGUUGGGGACUUUCCGG
rnacentral:rRNA from 1 species